UGAAAACGAAUGCAUGCCUUGUGCCA
rnacentral:piRNA from 1 species